AGAUGAAGUACUAGAUUUUUUUUUGGAAUUAACUGAACGUCAGAGACAAUUUCACAAAAAGCAACUCUAAAUGGACUCCUUUCUUCUCCUAUUCACAUUGCUUUGUCUAAAAGCUGUUUUUAGUGACGGUGUUCUGAUCACUCAAUGGCCGAAGUACAUAUCCAGUCUUCCAGACUCUUCAGUUGAAAUGCACUGUUACCAGAACGAUACAAACUAUGACUACAAAUACUGGUACAGACAAAUAAAAGGAGAGCUAGUGCUUGUUGGGAGCUACAUUGUUAACACUCCAUCGAAAGAGAAGGAUUUUGAAAACGGUUUUACAGUGUCAAGUACAGAGAAGAAGAAAUGGACCCUGAAAGUGGAUGUUAAGAAGGGGAUUGAUGCUGUGUAUCUGUGUGCAGCUAGUUUACACAGUGAAGAAAUGUUAAUAAAUUGUACAACAAAAACCCUUUUGAUGGCAACCUGCGAUCACACCUGCCUCAACCACAAAUAAAUGAACACAUAUCUUUACAGACAAGUCGGCAGAACCUUUCAACUCGCACAAUUGCAAUUGCAUUAAUCAUGUUACACUCCUCCCUUCCGCCAAAAACACUUUCACAGAAUGAUCUCGUUGAUGUGAUACAGUCAGUAGGGGGAGAUGUGACUGACUAUUUUAAUGUACAUGUAUUCUUCUCUCUCUGUCUAUACUAAAGUCUUGUACUCUCUCUCACUUGUCAGAUUAUUUUUGCUGUGUGCAUGACCAGAGUAUUUUUAACCCUGUUUUAGAAGGAUGUUUAGAGCUGCAUAUGGACUGUGCAUUUAUUUCUUAUUAUAUAAAGGGAUGGUGCGAUGUGUGACCGUUCAACAGAACCCGACAUCCAUAUUAGCCAACAAGAAUACAACUGUGGUGAUAAAGUGUAGUCAUGAUGACAAUAACAUGGAUUACAUGCAAUGGUAUCAGCAGAAGGAUACAGCCAUGGUCUUGAUUGUGUUUAGUUAUGGUGCUACAAGUCCCCCCAGCCUUGAGGAUAAAUUUAAAGACCGGUUUAAACUGGAAAGAAACGAAACACUGAAUGGAGCUCUGAAAAUCUCUGAUCUCAGUCUAUCAGACUCUGCUGUUUAUUACUGUGCUGUCAGUAUGCACAGUGCUGUAGUCUUUAUUACCUGCCUGACUAAAAACCAAACCACCAGAUAAACAGGAAAUGCAAUACAUACAAAAGAGGAACCUUUUUUUUUUUUUUUUUUUUGCAGGUUUUAAUUUCUACAAAAAAACAAAGAUUUUAAUAGAAAACACAAUCAGAUAUAAGCUUUCAUCCAAAACUAUAAGACCUACUUAGACAAUCUUUUAAGGAAUGUGUGCUGGCCAACUUUUACAGUAACAUAUCCUUCACAAAUAACACACAAUAGCACAAAUAGCAAUGUGCUAGCACAGAUAGCACAAAUGCGUUGCAACAAUAUCUGUGAAACAUCCAAGAUGGUGGAUGCAGUCGAGAGAAAUAUUGCCAAUAAAUACUUACAUUUCUUGCAACAAAACAGCUCCAGUCAAAUCCACAGCAAAAUUCAAUUCAAGUUUAUUUGUAUAGCGCUUUUUACGAUACAAUCGUUGCAAAGCAGCUUUACAGGAAGUUAAGUUUCUACUAUAUAUAUGCAUAUGCAUACACAU